UUUGAGUAAAUUAUUUAUUAGAGUAUAAAUAUUUAAAAUAAUAUUAAGUUUAAUUAAUUGAUAUGAAAUAAUUUUUUUAAUUAUAGUGAAUUAGUAUAGUGAUAGAAUAGGUAGUUAAAUAUUUAAAAGAAUAAUUGGGUUUUAGUACCUUGUGUAUCAGGGUUUAUUAAUAAAUGAUUAAUAAAUUAAUGUUCUCGAUUUUGAAAGAGUUAAUUAUUUAUUAAUUUUAUUGUAAAAUAAAUAUUUAAGAUAUAUAAUUAGUAAUGAAACGUUAGUCGUUUUCAAAUAUAUCUAGUUUUUUAAGAAAAAAAUUUAAUUUUUUUUAUAUAAAUAUAGGGUUUAAAUAUAAAAUUAAUAUAUUUUAUAUGAAAUAUAGUAAUAGGGAUUAGCUUAUUAUUAGAUUUUUUAAAAAUAAUUUUUUGAGAAAAAAUUGUAGGAUUAGAAAUUUUCAUCAUAUAGUUUGUUAUAAUUAAUUUAUUAAAAAAGUAAGUUUUUAUAUAAUUUUUAAAUAUUUUAUUAAAAAUUAGAAUUAAGUAAUUUAAUUUUAGGUAUAAUGAUAAAAUUAGUAUAGUUAAAUGUAUUAAUAAUUAAUUUAGUUAGGUUAAUUGAAGGAAUUCGGCAAAAUAAUUUUUCGCCUGUUUAUUAAAAACAUGUCUUUAUGAAUUUUAAUAUAAAGUCUAACCUGCCCAAUGAAAUUUUAAAUGGCCGCAGUAUUUUGACUGUGCAAAGGUAGCAUAAUCAUUAGUUUUUUAAUUAAAAGCUGGAAUGAAGGGUUGAACGAGAAAAUUACUGUCUUAAGUUAAAUUUAUUAGAAAUUUAUUUUUAAGUUAAAAAGCUUAAAUUUAUUUAAAAGACGAGAAGACCCUAUAGAGUUUUACAUUUUUAAAAAAAUUUUAUUUAUGGGAUUAUUUUUAUAUUUUUGAAUAAAAUGUUUUAUUGGGGUGAUAGGAAAAUUUUAUUAACUUUUUUUUUAUUAUAUCAUUAAAUUAGUGAAUUAUUGAUCCUAUAAGAUUAUAGAUUAUAAGAUUAAAUUACCUUAGGGAUAACAGCGUAAUUUUUUUGGAGAGUUCUAAUCGAUAAAAAAGUUUGCGACCUCGAUGUUGGAUUAAAAUUUAUAAUUGGUGUAGAAGCUGAUUUAUUAGGUCUGUUCGACCUUUAAAAUUUUACAUGAUCUGAGUUUAAACCGGUGUGAGCCAGGUUGGUUUCUAUCUUUAAUAAGUUGAAAUAUUUUAGUACGAAAGGACCAAGUAUUUAUAAUAAUUAUUUAGGUUUGAUUUAUAUUAUUAUUUU
rnacentral:rRNA from 1 species